rnacentral:misc_RNA from 1 species
UAAUGCAAUUGCAAUUGCAUUACAUGACUAUCUACUUUGGUUGCAUGAAAAAAAUUUGUACUGAUGUAAUUACCAUUGCUUUGGUUAAUGUAAUGCACAUUACAUAAUAUAUAUAAUCAUGAUCACUUUCUUUAUUUAAUUACUUAUUUUUACUUCAACUACAUAUUUGAUUGCAUUUUAUUCAACUACAUCUAUCAAAAAUAGCUCUAGUUAUGCUAUCACUUGUAUUCUAAUGGCAAGUGCCUGUCUCUUAUUGUAG